CUACGUGCCAGCAGCCGCGGUAAUACGUAGGGUGCGAGCGUUAAUCGGAAUUACUGGGCGUAAAGCGGGCGCAGACGGUUACUUAAGCAGGAUGUGAAAUCCCCGGGCUCAACCUGGGAACUGCGUUCUGAACUGGGUAACUAGAGUGUGUCAGAGGGAGGUAGAAUUCCACGUGUAGCAGUGAAAUGCGUAGAGAUGUGGAGGAAUACCGAUGGCGAAGGCAGCCUCCUGGGAUAACACUGACGUUCAUGCCCGAAAGCGUGGGUAGCAAACAGGAUUAGAUACCCUGGUAGUCCACGCCCUAAACGAUGUCGAUUAGCUGUUGGGCAGCUUGACUGCUUAGUAGCGAAGCUAACGCGUGAAAUCGACCGCCUGGGGAGUACGGUCGCAAGAUUAAAACUCAAAGGAAUUGACGGGGACCCGCACAAGCGGUGGAUGAUGUGGAUUAAUUCGAUGCAACGCGAAGAACCUUACCCGGGCUUGAA
rnacentral:rRNA from 1 species